rnacentral:lncRNA from 1 species
CCACGCUGAAAAGGCAACCCUAACCCUACUGCUGGGGGAAAUCAAAGCCGGAAAGAAAUCUCCCACCUCCACCCAAACAGUCCCGGUGUCCCCUUUAGGACAACAAAGAGGACGCUCGCCGCCUGGGGCUGGCGCUGGCGCCCCCCACUGGGGGCCAGGAGAGAGGUGGUGUAGUCCGGCCGUCGUGGACCAGGCCCAGGAUAAAUGGAGGCAAGGGUCAGAAGACCUGGCUGGUCCGACUGAUGCAGCGAAAGAGGACCCAGAAGCCACCCGGACUGGAAGGUGAGAAAACAGAGAAAACAGAGAGGCCAAUGACUUCUCCCAGGUCUGGAGUGUGGGAGCAAGAACCUGAACCCACCUCAGAAGAGCUCUAGCCAUUCAGUGCAACUCCCUUGCUUUACAGUUGAGGAAACUGAGGCCUGGAGGAAAAAAUUACUUACUUCAGGUCCCCUAAGCAGGAAGGAUCAGUGCUGGGCUCCCACUACUAGGUCUCCAUCUUUGAAUGGUGCCAGGCUGCCUUCCAAUUCACUUCUAGGGAUGGCAAUCUCCUGCUCCUUCUGGAUCUUGGAGGUGCUGUGACAGUAGUUGAGAAAAGGUCUUUCCUAUUAAAAAAACCCCCAACCAUGCAGAAGCCAAAGAAAUGGUGGAAUUUCUAAAUAAAAUGUAGGAAGAGAAGAAAGAGAAUCGGCA